rnacentral:lncRNA from 1 species
UCCAGGAUCAGAACUGAAAAUAUUUCUUAUUAACUGUGGUUUGUGGAAUAACACUAAACCAGUCAAUUACAAGCAUAUGCCGACCAAAAUGGAGCACCGAUAGGCUGAACUGGAUAUAGCUGACCACAGUUCCAAUCCCCUCCGCGUAGUUUUGCGGGUUCGCGCUUCAACCUAGCCUGCAAGCUAAGCCGGUCACACGCACACAACUAUCCAUUGACGCGAAACGCGCGGCACAAUUUUCCUGACCCCUGCUUGUUCACCUGAGGAAGAGGAACCCCUCACUACGAAAGGGAGGAUGGUGCACCGCGGAAGGGAGGAUGGCGUAAGGGAAGCUCACCUGGUGUUCGACGAAACACCGCCGCGCUGGCGGCUGAGGCGGCGGCGGCGGCGGGUCGGCGUCAGGGUUUCAAAUUGAAAAAAGCUGGGAGCCUGGGAGGCCGACCCGGGCCGGCGACGGGGCAGCCGCAGACUUUGGGUCUGUU